rnacentral:sRNA from 1 species
UUGACAGCCUUGUCUGAAAAUCUGUAUUUACCCACAGCACAGAUAAAACACUGACAGCAACAGUGCAAAGCUUCCUCAGAUUGCCCCACCAAAGUGCUUCACUCUUAAUCUGGAUGAACCACCUGGAAUUGAAUGAAUAGUGUAGCCUCAUGCCAGCUCAGUUCUUGGUCUCU